rnacentral:rRNA from 1 species
GCGCAGCAGUCGAGAAUCUUCCACAAUGGGGAAACCCGUGAUGGAGCGACGCCGCGUGCGGGAUGAAGGCCCUAUGGGUUGUAAACCGCUGUUCAGUGGAAAGAACAUCCUCCGGCUGAAUAGGUCGGAGGCCUGACGUUACCACUGCAGAAAGUCCCGGCCAACUCCGUGCCAGCAGCCGCGGUAAUACGGGGGGACGGAGCGUUGUCCGGAAUACAUUGGGCGGUAAAGGGACGGCCGUAGGC